rnacentral:sRNA from 1 species
UCCAUGAUGGUUACGUGCCCAAGUGGGGCUA